rnacentral:rRNA from 1 species
UGGGGAAUAUUGGGCAAUGGGCGCAAGCCUGACCCAGCAAUGCCGCGUGAGGGAAGAAGGUCUUCGGAUUGUAAACCUCUGUCCUUGGGGACGAAAAAAAUGACGGUACCCAAGGAGGAAGCUCCGGCUAACUACGUGCCAGCAGCCGCGGUAAUACGUAGGGAGCGAGCGUUGUCCGGAAUUACUGGGCGUAAAGGGUGCGUAGGCGGCUUGGCAAGUCAGAUGUGAAAUCCCCGGGCUUAACUCGGGAGUUGCAUUUGAAACUGCUAGGCUUGAGUGCAGGGGAGGAAAGCGGAAUUCCUAGUGUAGCGGGGAAAUGCGUAGAUAUUAGGAGGAACACCAGUGGCGAAGGCGGCUUUCUGGACUGUAACUGACGCUGAGGCACGAAAGCGUGGGGAGCAAACA